GGUAACAUUUGUUAUUUACAUCAAUGUUACAGCUAAUCUAGAAGAACCACAGUGUAUGCCAAUCAUGCUAACUCUUGUAAACUUGUUUUACUUGUCUUUAAUGACAGACACAUUACAGGUUAUGCUCCGGAAGAUGGAGACAUUGGAGGAGAACCAGCGAGAGGCUCUCCUAUUCAGGCGACUACAGGGCAGACACACUGAAGAGGUGCCGGUGAUGGACCUACAGGUGGCCCAAACACAGGCUGAACUCCAAGACCUUGAGGAGCGCCUUAAGGUGCUGGAGUUGCGAAAGAGAGUGACGCUGUGAUGAAGUGGAAGACGGGACUGGGAGAGAAAGCUGUGGAGCUCCUCAUAGAGGAGACACUCAAACACACCCCGGCAGCCCAUUCAAAACAAGCCAGGGCCAACAGACAGGACCUGUAGCGGGGACUGGCAGAAGAUUUUAAUUCACA